UAGGGAAGAGCAGCUGCCUCCCUCUGUCUGCCUGAUGGUAAGGCCAGCUGUGCUACUCCAAACACGAACUGCCGGUGGGCAGUUUCAGGGCCUCUUCCUUCUGUCCUGAAAAUUCUUUACCUUUAAACCAGACUUGGGCUGGAAAUGGAGGAUCCCUUCAAGUGGAUAAUUGUCCAGCCUUUCAAAGGCUUCCGUGCAGAAGGAACUGUUAGUAUGGUCCUGAUACGCCAUUCAUCGGAAUGACUAAGCCACAAAACUGUUUGGCCGUUAGCUGUCAGAACUGAUGAACUACACCACUAGCGACAAUGGGAGAGAACAGAACUAGUGCUUCCCAAGGUGUGGAGAAACUCCAAAAAGACUUGAAUUUUUCUCCUCCCUGCCUUCUGUUGGCACAUCACUGCUGCUCUACGGAUACUGAGACAUGUGGGGACUGUAUGUACAGAGCAGAGGCCCUCCUGCCUCCCAGCUUGCACCCUGGGUGUCUUUGGGGGGGGGAUCCUAGAUUUAUUUCACAUUUAAUGUACAUAGACAGGUUGUGCUGUGCUGUAGUGGUGUGCACACUGUCAGUGCAGAUGAUGGUAACAAGCCACUAUGCGGCUUUGCCCCUUCCCGGUGCAGAGAAAAAUGUAGACACUUUGCUAUGCAGCAUCCUGACCCUUGAGGAUGGAGGGAAACCCAGCCAGGAGUGGGCUGCUGGAUACUGCAAGGGGAAAUGCAGGAUGAUAAAGGGACUCUGUAGUCUUCCCCUUUUUUGUGGAAAGCAGCUCGGGGGAGGGAACUGGGAGAAAUGGACUAAAUUGCCUGCCCUAUGUGCCUCACUCUUACUCUGACUUGCAGCCUGUCCAAGCAUCUUUGGUUGAAAUAAAAGCAAAUAAAGGAAACAUUUAAACAUAACAUGCAGUUUGAGCUCGAGACAAAAAGAGCUAUCCAUUUCCAAAUGACAGCCCCAUACCAGGUAACUGGUCAUGCCAACCCAUUGCCUUCAAGGUUUUUGCUCUGCAUUGCUGUCUGUUUGUUUUUCUGGUUCAGUGAUAAACUCUUUGCUCUCUGGCCUUGCUGUGCUAAUAGGGAAAACUUUCCAUGACUUAACUGUCAGAGAACAGAGACAGGCAGGCCUGGCUGGGACAGCUUUUCCAAUCCCACUUUGGAUCCUGAUGAAAAGAGGGCUGUGCAGUAACUUGUCAACAUUCCAUACAUCCCGUCCAUCAUCAAGGAAGUCUCGGGUUGUUUUGUUCAGCUGCAGAAGUUGCACUGGGGUGGACAAACAACUGUGAUGCAAGACGUAAAGGAGAGACAAUAUGUUCUAACUUUUCUCUAGGACUAGGACACUUCCAUCAUAAUUUAGGACACUUUCAAGAAUGUGUGUUCCCUUCCCCGACUUGGUAUGCAGUCCUAACUUGUCCAAAGGAGGGGUGAGCAAAGAACAGUCUGCCUGAGGUUGUCAGGUUGCAGCUCCCAUGAGCCUUUCCCAGCAAAGCCAAUGGUGAGCUUUGCUGGGAGCUGCAGUCCAACAACAUUUACAUUUUGCCGCUCCUUCUCUUUUUUAAAGCUUCUACCUUAACAGCAGACUUUGUAAACAAAAGGGAAAAAAUGUUCUCUCCUGCCUCUGAAUUCAAAGAGAACCCCACCUCUUUGCUCAGCCCUUUGCCCCUUUCUUGAGUUUGCUGAAAUCUGUUGUUAAAAGUGCUCAUGUUGUUAA